rnacentral:tRNA from 1 species
GGUUCUAUAGUGUAGCGGUUAGCAAGUCUGCUUUACACGCAGAAGGUCCUGGGUUCGUACUCCAGUGGAGCCA